UAAACAACAUCUUUUGGCACAUAACAAUUUUGCAAACACACCAAGGAAGAAAUGAGUCAAAUGAGACAUGUUCAGUCUGUCUCCGGCACAAGUCUGGUCCAUGUUGUCAAAUAAUUCUGAAGAUUUGGACUAUUGCGAUGCUAUAAAUUAUCUUCUGUCAUAUAAUUUUGAUCCUUUUAUAUAUGAUACCCUUUAUGUUGUAUAACAAUUAUUGAAAAUGAGGUAGAUAUACCUUAUAAUAGUUUGGCCUCUUCUAUGUCUUUACACAUAGACUAUUU
rnacentral:lncRNA from 1 species